AACCAACACACAACACAACAAACAAAAAAGAAGGAACCAAGACUGACUACAGAAAAACAAUAAUGGUACAAACAAGUCUUAAAACACUGGAGACAUUUAUUUUGCUGAAACAUCUGUCACUCAGUUGUCAGGUGAGAGUUCAGCAGUUCUUUUCCUAAGAUCACUUUGAAAAGAAGGGGCCAAUAGGGCCAGAAGGACUUGGCACAACUCACAUUCCUCUUCAUUUUUCCCAUUAUCCAAUACAGAAUCAGUAAGUAAGCAUUUUUACAAAUGUUGUACCAGGAAAAGCUCUAAUGAGUCCCUGAUGCCUACCAUCCCUCCUACACAUUCAGGUAGUCUACAGAAAGUUAAGAACAACCCAAAUCUUGCUUAAGCCCUUGCUUUCCAAAAGGCUUGUAUUCCCUAGCUGCUAUUACUAUAUCAUGUCAAACCGAUAGCUUCACACGAGAACCUAUUCUCAAGUCCCCCAAAUCAGAACAGGAUGCAGCAGCUUAUCAUUCUUCCAUUAUGAACCAACUUUCCAGUGCUCUUUCAGACAUUCAGCAGCUAUCUAGUUUGUAAGUCUGCUAUGCCUUCCUGUCCCUUCAAGUACACCCAUCACUACCACAGCCUGUUUUGUGUGUGUUCUUCCCCUCUGCGCAAUGCAGUAAAGCAAUAUAAACUAACCUGGCUAUUAGGGCUUGUGUAGUUUCCUCUUAGCUUUCUGGAGGUCAACAUGUCUUUUUUUUAACCUCCUCCUCAUUAUUUAAAACAAUAAAGCAAUAUGAAGAUUACAUUUCCAGUACAAAAUAAAAGUUGUAACUAUUUUGCAAAGAUGCCUCAUCUAUUUGAUCACCUUUCCUUGCCUUUGAUGGUUCUUGUUGCCCACACACUUUCUAGUUCUUCUACCUUUCGAGAUCUGUUUUUGCAGAUGACAGGGAUGGAAACUUUGUUGAUGACAAAAGGAAUACCAUAUAUAAUCAUGUAAUUCCAUAGCACAUUUUCUAUUUUACUCCCUGUAAUUCUCAAAAUUCCAUAUGCUUGUUCCCCACCAAACACUGAUACCACAUUUUCAUAAUAUAACCUAUCAUGACUUCAAGAUCUUUCUUGAACACUAAUAGCUCAUUUGGGGUACUCAUUAUAUGUGCUUUUCACCAAUUAUUAACCCAUGGGAGGACCGUCCUGUUCUAUGACACCUCAGUUUCUUUAAAAGGUUGAUUAAGGACCUUGAUAAUCAAGGGGGUUUUGUUGUUAUUUUUAAGAAAUCCAAGGACAUCGCACUGAUUAGAUAGCCCUUAUCCACAUGGUUGUUGACUUUUUCAAGGCAUGACUUUGAAAAGACGUAACCUCAUAACUUCCCUUUUCCCCUCCUUCUAGAAAAGCCCUGUUAACUCCUGCCCAUUAUCACGUUUGUCAGUAUGUCUACUACUUCUGUUACAUGCUCAACCAAUUUGCCUAACAGAAGUCUGACUUACUCAUCUGCAGUUAUCUGAGCCCUUCAGAAACUGGUGCAGGAGACGCGGCCUUCUAUCCUUCUGGUACUACACAAAUUAUACAUAUACUGAGUUAGCAGGACAGAGGUACCAUUGGCAAUAGCUUCUAGCCAUACUUCAGCAGGACACUUUCAUGAAGAACAGUACUGCCAUGAGACUCUCUCGCAUCAUCUUGAUCAUCUUAUUCUUCAGAUGCACUCAGAGACUUCAUCCUUCUGGUAUGGGAGACCUCAUGAAAUCUCACCAUGGAGACUGAAAGAUAAGGAAGGCAGAUCUUGGAGAAGACUUAAGUUCAUUACUCAACAUGACAACCUAGUAUAUAGAAAUAAUAGUAAAGAUGUGCCUUUGAAGACUUUGAAUAAUGAAAUCCCAAAAGCUCACUAGAGUGUGGAAUAAUCUCUAGAAGACUCCAGAUCUUCACACAAUUCAAAUACAGGUGCACAAUCCCUGAAGCAGAGACAGAAAUCAAUCCUGUUUUGGACAGCAGUGAAGCACAGCUCAGAAUGUCAUCUAUAGCCAAGAUGGGAAAUAAUGCACAGGAAGGGAGAAUUUCAGAGCUACAGAAAGCUGGUAUGGCAGUCAGGACACAACCAAAGAAGUUGAGGGAACUCCUCAACCUACCUAACACAACUAUCACUGACCAAGAGGUAACAAAAGAAACAUCCUGGAACAAGGACGUAUCAUACCAACAUCAUAACAAGGAAAGUUUUCUGUAUGAAUUAAUGGGGUAGGCUUCCACCUCUUUACCUCAAAGCAUCAUGACAGCAGGAAACAGUGUACUCACACCCACUAACCUGUCUCAGCACAGUGACCAAUGCAAUGCUUGACAACAAUGUAUUUCAACCCCAACACUAGAUACAGGUGAAAUGGAAAUCCAAUGCCAAGCAGUUCCCUCAAGAACUGUUUACAGUAUUUUCUAUGCAUUUUGCUUUACAAAAUCUACCCUAAAUUACUGAGUCUGAACCGUUGCCUCCUUGCAAGUGCAAGGAGUCUUGAAGACACAGGUAGGAUAAAUAGAUGAGUUUAGAGGAUCCAUUUGAAGUGCCUUUUAUCCAGUCCACAUCACCUUCAAAAAAAUUAUUCCUUACCACAAAAGCAUCAACUAGACUAGUUUCAGAUUAUUAGAUCUUAUAUACAUAUAUACACACACACAGAGUAUGUACAAAGGGCAUACUUGGAAGAUCUGGGAGAGAGGUAACAAUUACAUCCUAGGAGCAGAUUCCUCAGAUGUCACUCCUGUGAGACUGCAGUUCUUACUGUCUCUCUCGCAAACACCAUCGAUAUUUUAUGUUUAGUUAGUUAUAUGCUAAUUUUCAGUAAACACAACUCUUUUUGAGGGUGUCAACCUACCAUAAGCUUUGACAACAUACAAGAUUAUUAUCUAUAGUUGUGGGUCAAGUCAAGUAAAAACACCUCUGCUUAUUGAACAAGUCACAUCACCCUGUUAAAACAACAAACAUGCUUACACAGCAAUUCUGAGCACUUUUACAAAGACAUCGAUCUUCCCCAGUGUGCAGUACUACUGAGUUCUUAAGUAAUUUCUUAGACUAACUCAGAAUUUUAGGUGAUUCUUAUCAUCCUUAGAUAUGACUAGUAAUGCUUCAGCUAUUACAAACCAGUCUUUCCAAGUCUGUGUUGAAAAAAGCUGUGGUCUACCUGUAAACUUCUUACAAGCCUUUUCAGACUUUUCAAAAUAUCAUUCAUAAUUGCAGCAACAGUUUUAUUUCCUGAGCUUGAAGUUAGAUAAUAAUAAUUCAAUUUACCUCAGCUUCAAUAAUACACAGGCAUUUUAUAACCAAUGUUCAAGCAUGUAUCUGUUUGCUAAAGCAUGAAUCACCGGCUGUGAAAUAGAUCUAUUUCUGUUCCAGAGGAAUUACGCCAGCCACUGCCAAAAAUCAGGGAGUUUGAUCUUGCAAAUAAAAUUAACAUUACAUUGCAAAAGUUUGUCAUAAAUAAGAACAAGAAAAUCUCACAGUUAGACAGUGUUGAAAUGUAAGAGUCUAAAUACACCUCAAAAAAUUACAUACUAAAUACAAAAAAAUACAUAUACAAUUUUUUGUCAGUUACCAAAGCUGAAAUUAAAAUAAAACUAGUUCUUUUAUGCCUAUAAAAUGUGAAGCCUUAUUUUAAAGUGUAAGAGGUGGAAAGAGCUGAAGACAUCUUUUAAAAGCACUUUCUAGUUAUGUACCAAUAAUGCCACCUACUGGCAUGACAGAAGAUCCAAAUUUUUAGAGUAACUUUAAUUUAAGAGUUUUAAUUUCAAUACAACAUUAAAUACCAUUGUUUGUUUUUUUCCUUUGCACUUAGCUAAAGCAGAUAAUUUCUUUCACCCAAAUUUCUUCACAAGCAAGGGCCAGGAACAGAAUUGAACAGUGUUGUAUUUAAUACUACAGUAUCAACACUAAUCUGAAUAAGCAAGGACCAGAACGUAGCAGUGUUCUUCAAAGUGCAACCUCCCAGCACAGCAGAAUUUCCCAGUCUCUAAAAUUCACUGCAAAGUAACUUUUAGAUGACAGAAACUUGUAAGUUCUACUGCUUCAGCACCUAUUAAAAAUUCUUCCUAUCCUUCCAACCCAUAUAUAUUUUCUAACGCUCAAAAUUAAUUCUGAUUAUAAUUAUCACUCAAAGUCUAUGUCCAGGAUGAAUUUUAGCAUUUUCAGGUUUAAACAAUUAGUCAGGUUGACAUCCAAAACAAAGCCAGGAUGUAUAUAUUUUUUUAACCCUAGAAUGGAAAUGAACUAAAAUAACAAUUAAAAUAUCCAAAUGAGAUUAUCCUUGCUUUGUAACCAAGGCAGGCAAAAAGCAAACAAUUACAAACAGGUCACUUUGGAAUUUUACUCCACAAUUAAACCACUCUCUUAAUCUGUUUUCAAUGAAGUAAUUUAGAGUAGAAUAAAGUAUUUUCAGUUCGAAGGGACCUACGAUUGUCUAGUCCAGCUGCUUGACCAAUUCAGGGCUGACCAAAAGUUAAAGCAUGUUAUUAAGGGCAUUGUGCAAAUGCCUUUUAAACACUGACAGGCUUGGGGCACCAACCAGCUCUCUAGGAAGCCUGCUGUGUCCAGUCCAAACCUCCUCUGGAGCAGCCUUGAGCCAUUCCCACCUGUCACUGGGUACCAGGGAGAAGAGAUCAGCACCUCCCUCUCCACUUCCCCUCCUCAGGAAGCUGUAGAGAGCAAGGAGGUCACCCCUCAGCCUCCUUUCCUCCAGAUUAGACGUGCCCAAAGUGCUCAGCCACCCCUCAUAGGACAUUCCUUCCAGCCUUUUCACCAGCUUUGUUGCCCUCCUCUGGACGCAUUCAGGGACCUUCACCUCCUCCUUCAAUCGUGGGGCCCAGAACUGCACAGUGCUGCAGGUGAGGCCGCACCAGCGCUGAACGCAGCGGGAUAAUCAUCUCUCUUGGCCGGCUGGUUAUGCUGUGUUUGGUGCACCCCAGGAUGCUGUUUGCCCUCUUGGCUGCCACGGCACGCUGCUGACCCAUACUGAGCUGCUCUCAGCCAGCACCCCAAAAUCCUUUUUAUUAUUGCCAGAGAAGGGAUAGAGCUGUAAAUCACAACAAUCUGGGUGCCCUUACAGCUUUUGUUGACUUGACCUUUGAAAUUUUAUAAGCAUUGCUUCUGAUUACAAUUUGAGGGUUUACAGAGAUUAAUUUAAGUGCAAUUUCUACAAAACCCAUACAGAAUAUAGGGUAACAAGCAAAGGAAAGGGCCCUGUGUAAUGAUGUUCUCAGCAACAGAGGCUUUAGGGGGAAAAAAUGCAACUGGGUAUUAUUUUGGAAUGAACCAAAGAAAACUUGUAACUGCUUCCAAUGGAUUUAGCAUUCCUCCACAAUGUCACAGGUGAAGCUGACAGCAAAUAAACCAGCACAGGACAAGCAGCAGAUAUAAAACCAAGUGGCUUUACUAGAGUUCAUCACUGAGAGGACAACUGGAUACACAGCUACUUUUUGCUGUGCAUGUUAACUCACUAGCAGUCACUAGCAAAGCUGCAUUUUAGAAGCACCUGGCACUGCUCAGGAUUUCCUUACAGGAAAAAACCUCUCUUCUCAGACACUCUCAGCACACUACAUUGCUGCUUCUUUCCUGAACAGGGUUAAAGCAGAAAACCAUCUUUCUGGUUACCCAAGUUCAUGAAAACUUUCAGUCAUACCUGUACCAAACCAAACCAUGCUAGAACAAAUCUGGUGAUUUGUGCCGCUUAAACACUGCCAGACUACCAGCUCCACAGACCUUGCACUUAACAGGAAAGCUGCACGAAGAUGUAAAUGUCAAUGUCACUCGUCAUACUUCCAGGAGAAGUCUGAGCCUUUCAACAGUACCACCCUGGAGCCAAACAUAAUCAAAACCCUCUUUAACGAUAAGUUUCCUCAUCCAAGGACUGGCAAAUACUCAAGUAGUAAACAAAUAUAUCCCAAACAUAUGCAUUUGCAUCCAGAAGAAAAACUAAUUAGAUAGUGCAUUUUCUGAAACCUUUUUAAGAUCUGGGAAUCAAUAUAGCCUUAAAUCAAAUAGGGGCUGAUAUAACUGGUGUGUCAUUCCACUGAUACUUUCCCAAGAUGUGACUUUAAGAAUCAGCCUUCUAGACUAAAUUCUCAGUAGGGAAAGAACGGAACUAGGCAGAGAGAAAAACCUUCCUUCAGUGAGCAGAGCUAACAGUGUCAUCUUAAUACAAGGGAAAACUUGCACCUUGCUUGAUCAGCUCCACGGCAUGCUGUUUUUUCAGGACUAAAUGGGGUGUUACACUACAGUAAUGGAAAUACACACGAGUAUCAGAAAACACAGGUGAAUUUAUAUCCAACUUCUUCUGGACAUUGCACAAGCACUGGAGGAAGCACACACUUCCAGCUCAUUUCUACCACAUAUAGACUGGUACUUCUUAUUCCACACUAAAGAUGUUUUCAAAGAAACACUUCUAGAAUGAUACUUCAUAUACAUGACCAAUUUACUCAAAAUUACAUCCAUUAUAAACUUUUGUUUUGUUUACUAUUGUCUCCUCUUAAAACAAAGUCAGUCUCUGCUUUAAAACAGAAUUCUUAAUCAGAAGCUCAUGGUUGAGACAUGGUCUCUCCAAAGUGAAUUAGGCUGAAGUAUGUCCCCACUAGCUGAAAUAAAAAAGGCUGUCUAUGUUGGUACUUGUUUCUGACCGUGAAUUUUAGCAGAUAAUCAGGAAAUGAAUGCAGUGAUAGGACUUCCACACAGGGAUAAUUUCCUAACAUACCCUCUUCUCUCCCAGAUUUGACAGCUUUAGGACUUUUGAGCAAGAGGUUGUUCAGUGUAACUGCUGAGCAAGAUGAGUGAUGUCUCCUUUUCAACAUUCAUCUAAGAAACAACAGCUACAUACCCUAACAAAACUCAGUCUAAAAAUAACCUAUUCGCAGUUCCCAGAUUUCUAUCAGUGCAGAUUAAAAAUUUACAGAAGUCCAUUCGCAGCCUAUUCUGAAAGCAUUGCAACAAAGCUGUUCAGGCUGUAAGAACUGUUGCAUAAUACCCUGUUUUGGCCAUAAAAGUCAACCUUUGCUUAUCUUUCACAGUUGAUUCAUAUACCUGCCACUUAGUCCUGUAUUCACCUUACAGACCUUUGAUGAAGUGUUACACAACAAUUUCAAGACAAAUAUUCUGCUCUUCCUCCCAAACCAUGUUUUUGCAAGUAUGUCCUUACUACCCAGCAGACAAGUCAUUUUUUAUCUUCUACCACCCCCUCAAAACAUUUAUUCCUCUGACAGCUGAGCUCCUGCUCCUUUCACAGCUGACUGGCAACAUGUGGAAACUGAACCAAGUCCCGAGUUUCUUGUUGAGGCUGCAUUCUUAAUUUGCUGAGUCUCUCAAAGUUGGAUUUUCCAAAAAGAUGCUGGAAUCACCCUCUGGUAUCACUAAUCCAAUGACCCCGGGUGCUGUGAGAGCAUAGGGAGAAGAAACUUCAAAAAGCAGCCAGACUCCUGCAUUCUCCCUGAAGAGCCUGCCCUAUUACUGUUGUUGGGGCAGCAGACUGGGCUAAGCAAACCACUCAUCUGACACAGCAGGGAGAUUUGAUCCCAUAUAAAUAAUAAAAUGUAUUCUCAGACUCCUCGUGAUUGACUUGCUACCCCCAGAAAAGACUCCUACCUUUUAAGAAAUACAAAUCCAAAGGAGGGGGGAGAGAGAGAGAAAAAACAACCCUGAAAAAAAAACUUUCAAUGGUUACCACCAGAGAAGAAGAGAAAUAGGUUUUUCCUGACCUCCUUUCAACUCUAAGUAGUAUACCACACGCACUUCUGCUACCUUAUGGAAAACUUACUCUGUGUUUUGUAUCUAUUGCUGUGGAC